AAUGAACGUUGGCGGCGUGGAUUAGGCAUGCAAGUCGCGCGGACCAGCAAUGGUUAGCGGCGAAAGGGAGAGUAACGCGUGGGUUAUCUGCCUCUUGGGCCAGGAUAGCUGCGGGAAACUGCAGGUAAUACUGGAUAAUGUCUUCGGACCAAAGGUGUGAUUCCGCCGGGAGAUGAGCCCGCGUCCUAUUAGCUAGUUGGUGAGGUAAUGGCUCACCAAGGCUUAGAUGGGUAGGGGGUGUGAGAGCACGACCCCCCUCACUGGGACUGAGACACUGCCCAGACACCUACGGGUGGCUGCAGUCGAGGAUCUUCGGCAAUGGGCGAAAGCCUGACCGAGCGACGCCGCGUGUGGGAUGAAGGCCUUCGGGUUGUAAACCACUGUCGUAGAGGAGGAAAUUCUGGGGGGUUCUCCCCUCAGUUUGACCUAUUCUAGGAGGAAGUCAGGGCUAAGUUCGUGCCAGCCGCCGCGGUAA
rnacentral:rRNA from 1 species